AUUGAACGCUGGCGGCAUGCCUUACACAUGUAAGUCGAACGGCAGCACGGGGGCAACCCUGGUGGCGAGUGGCGAACGGGUGAGUAAUACAUCGGAACGUGUCCUGUAGUGGGGGAUAGCCCGGCGAAAGCCGGAUUAAUACCGCAUACGCUCUACGGAGGAAAGGGGGGGAUCUUAGGACCUCCCGCUACAGGGGCGGCCGAUGGCAGAUUAGCUAGUUGGUGGGGUAAAGGCCUACCAAGGCGACGAUCUGUAGCUGGUCUGAGAGGACGACCAGCCACACUGGGACUGAGACACGGCCCAGACUCCUACGGGAGGCAGCAGUGGGGAAUUUUGGACAAUGGGCGAAAGCCUGAUCCAGCAAUGCCGCGUGUGUGAAGAAGGCCUUCGGGUUGUAAAGCACUUUUGUCCCGGAAAGAAAAACGCCCGUGGUUAA
rnacentral:rRNA from 1 species